rnacentral:lncRNA from 1 species
CUUAGACCUAAGCUGAUUAAUGAGUUUCUAGCUCUGCCUCUUGCCACAGACCAUACACACCCAUUACCAAUGAGCAAUAGAUUCCGGUAACCCCCUCCUGUCUACCAGAGUCCUCUCCCUGUAACCCAGAAUGUUUGCACGUCCCACCCGCGCUUUGCCCAGCUCCUCACUGUCCUUGGACUUCCCUGGAGAACGUAGAACUGAUGUGCACUGUUGGCUCCUGUUGUGCUGCACAGGCCUCCGUACAAACGGAACUCAAGAGCAUACACCACUCAUCUCUGCUAGUGGAUCACCUCUGAACGCUGUCUGCGCUGGGCUGAGGAUGCUCAUUACUGAAGUUCAAGGUUCUUACUGAUGUCACUGGAAAAUUUGUCUCUGCUCUGAGAAAUCACAGGAAGAAUUGCUCAGUGAGGCUUAAUCUGUCAGUUUACAAAACAAG